GACGAACGCUGGCGGCGUGCUUAACACAUGCAAGUCGAACGGAAAGGCCCUGCUUUUGUGGGGUGCUCGAGUGGCGAACGGGUGAGUAACACGUGAGUAACCUGCCCUUGACUUUGGGAUAACUUCAGGAAACUGGGGCUAAUACCGGAUAGGAGCUUCUGCUGCAUGGUGGGGGUUGGAAAGUUUCGGCGGUUGGGGAUGGACUCGCGGCUUAUCAGCUUGUUGGUGGGGUAGUGGCUUACCAAGGCUUUGACGAGUAGCCGGCCUGAGGGGGUGACCGGCCACCAGGGGUGAGAGAAGCCGCUGACACGACUACGAGACGAAGCAGCGGAGCAGAAUGCACGACGAGCGGGGGAAUGAUGCAACAGCGCCGCGGGGGGGGUGAUGGAGUUCGGGGUGUAAUCCAUUUUCGCGUGAGGCGACGCGAGUGACACGAUUAUGAGAAUAAACCCCCGCUAACUCCGCG
rnacentral:rRNA from 1 species